AACCUGCAAGAGAGCUAAUCUCCUAUAUGGUCUUAGCUACCGGGAUCUAUACCCUGCAACUGUCAUCAGCUGGGCAUGAAGAACAGCAGGCGGCCAGCUAUAUUUAUUUCAGCUUAAUUCUCAAAGGGUAUAUAUACUUUGGUGAAGAUCGAUCGGUGCAUGGUUGAUUAGAGAGCCAACUGAAUGGGAUUUCGCUCAGUUUGAUCCUCAUCACAGUAGGUGCUUAAUUGGAGGGAGUAUGAAAAGCUGGCUUGCUUAAUUGUGCACCAUGCAGAUCAAGAGCAGGGAAUGCAAGAAAAUGCAGCAUAUGGUAUGUAAAAUGCACGAUGCUGGUGAGUAAUGUUUUAAUGCCCCUUAUUUGUUACUUUGGUUAAUUAAUUUCUACUUAAUUUUAUCCAGUUUUGCCUGAUCAGUACCCUACUUUAAUUGUUUCACUAUAUAAUUUGCACCCGGUUAUUACUAUAUUGUUGUAGUGUGUCUAUCUUACCAUUAAUAAGAUACUCCCUCCGUCCCUAAAUAUUUGACGCCGUUGACUUUUUUAAACAUAUUUGACCUUUCAUCUUAUUCAAAAAAUUUAAGUAAUUAUUAAUUCCUUUUCUAUCAUUUGAUUUAUUGUUAAAUAUACUUUUAUGUAUACAUAUAGUUUUACAUAUUUUAUAAAAGUUUUUGAAUAAAACGAACGGUCAAAUAUGUUUUAAAAAGUCAACGGCGUCAAACAUUUAGGGACGGAGGGAGUAAGAAGUAUAAGGCUAGUUUUUGUAACAUAUAUAGGGUAUCCACUAUAUAUCCCUCUAUUCCUUUGCAAUAGUACUGAACUGCUAUGCUUAUACUAGGACAUUAAUUACUUUGGUUACACAGUUGGGAGGUGUCAGUUUAGUCCAGUGGCUGUAGCACAAUGUUGUCUUUUGAGGUGAUUUUUUUCAUCAAGUUUAUUUUGCAUGAUACUCCCUGAUCAUUAAGAUUUCUUAGCAACAUUUAUGAAACCACAUUAAAAAAAGGACGUACGCAUAGGCAGAUAUAUAGCCCGUGCUUCACUUGAAGAUUUGUCAUUCAUGCCUCAAUUUUCACUAGCUAACACAGAACGUUUAUGUGUACAAUAAUCCAUCUCUCUUUUAUGGUUUUUAUGUGUGUGACCACGUUCUUACUAGAUGCACGAAAAUUAUCAUUUUAGAGUUUUACAGUUUAUGGAAUGCUUGUGUGUGUGUGUUGCAAAUGCUCAGUUUAUGGAUGAUCUAGCAACAGCUAAAAUGAUGCUACGGAUUAAUAUUAUUGUUUUUCUAUCUGAAACAAAUAGAUCAUCAGGCAAUACACACAUCAAUUGAGGAACAACAGCUAGCACACAACUUAUUUCAUGACCACGUUCUUAAUUAGUUUCUUACUAGAUGCAUGAAAACCAUCAUUUUAGAGUUUUACACUUUAUGAAAUGCAUGACAGAUUUCAAUCCUAGUGAUAGUAGAAAAUUUUCAAAUAAGCUAGCUGGUGCAAAAUGGUUUCUGCGGCCGCUAUGCAUGUCAUUCCCAUUCCCCAGAAGUUGAUAUUGUUAACUGUUAGGUGCAAACGUUGCAAGCAAAGCGCGCAUGACACACACAGCCAGAGGGCUUCAUGCAUGUUAUUAAUUACGAUGGAACAAAUUACUCCGAUCCCAUUUUAGCGCAUGAAAAGAUGGUUUUUGCUAACCAGCCAUCUUAAAAUGGAUUCAUUUGCAAUUGAACAGUAUAAAUUUACAUAUUAAUUGUAUUGUUUUAUGCUCUACUUCCUUCUCACGGCGAGAGUCCUGCUACUAUACUGCUGGUCAGUCGGACCGAGCCAUGAUCCGGAAGACCGGAAGGGAGUCAUUCAUGAUCUCCCUCUUAAAACAAUUAAUAAGGCUAGCUUGAAGCUUCUGAUCAUUAAUUAACCUACGAUCCGUCUAGCUAUACUAAGCUACUCUUCGCUAAUCUGCUUAACAACUUUCAGGAAGUUUUUUUCAAGUAUGUACUAUGGAUUGAAUGGCUGCUUAUACAUAUGUACUGUGAAGAAUUACCGUGUAUAUGUAUGCAGGGGCAGAUAUACUUUGGGGGUGGCGGGGGCUCAAGCCUCUACUGUUAGUACCAGGACUAUGAGAGUUCUACGAAACCUCCACUAAAUUUUUUAUUUUGCCAUACGUAUAUGAGAAGAGGGUUAUAGUUUUAUUUAAUUAGUUUGUUCAGAUUCCUUGUUAUUUUUUCAUGGAUCUACCACCGUGUUUAUGAAUAAAUUUUGGUACUCC
rnacentral:sRNA from 1 species